GGGGGUGACUGGCUUCGACGGGGAGCAGACCGGGCACGGGAUGCGAGCCGAGUUUCUCCGAACCUCGUAAAAAAACGGGGAAAAAAAACAACUGCCAACGAUAACAAAGUCGUUCAGUUCCGGGGCCGCGCUCCUCAGCGCAGCCUCGCUCUGGCAGCCUAAACACCUGUCACGUCUCGCCUAGCUUUCGCCGAUAGGGGUGGGAUGAGGCGUAAACCAUACCGGCUCACUCGUGAGGGUAUCUCCUGGCCUCGCGGGGACAUCCAAAGGGAGAUGGGACCCGUCCGAUCCUGCUCAGGGGAGCGGCGGGCCCGAGAUAAAACUUGAGCUACGCUCGUAGAGUUCCGGGUAGGUCCUCUUCGGACGCGGGUUCGAUUCCCGCCACCUCCACCA
rnacentral:tmRNA from 1 species